GGGAGCUAAAGAAGCCGUUAUCCGUGUAUCUCCUUCUUUGCCCAUCUUCCCCAUAAUUACAAGGAAAAGUUUGUAUUGGAUUCACCAACACUACAGGAUAAACGGAGCUGUCUUUAACAAUAUUAGACACAGGUAAAGCCUCAGCAGGAAAAUGUGAAUUUUUGAAGGUGGUAAAACGAGUUUUCCUUGAUAGGAAGUUAUAAUUUCAAUGCAAGGACUAGAAUUUUAUCAACAGAAUUAGCAAGAGGGAUUUUAGCAUGUUAUGGUAACAUAUAAUUUCACUGUGAAAAAAUCCCAAAUGCUUUCGGUCUUCCAGGUUAUUAGAAUGCAGUAACAACCAGUAUGCAAUGCAUGCUGCAAUAUUACCCACAAGGGGGUUGGAUAUUUCACAGAAACCUGCCAUUAUUGAUCAUUAUGAUAAUUAUAAUUGAUAAUUUUUAAAAAAUGCUUUCAUUUUGCUAAGCUACAAUUUCUUACCUAAUUGGAUUUAUAUCCUUUCUUUCUCAAUAUUCUGCCCAUGAUUUGUAAUUAUCACAAUUCAUAAUUUUAAAAUUCUAUAGGAGAUUGUAUUUUCAAAAGCCUCCUGCAAGAAUAUCUGCCAUCUGACAUACUCUUUUGUAAUGUAACUCGCCACUAACCCGUGGAAAGAUGCAGUGUGCGUCUGAACUACCUUGCAUCUGUGUGGAGUCUGUGACUGCGAUGAUGCCGCAGACGUGCUGUCGUGUGACUUCUGAGGAUACAUCUUAAGGAGUCAAAUCCUAGUAUCUUCUCUUUUGACUGCUCAUCCUAGGGAAACUCUGCUUGGAACAUGGUACCCUUGCCAUGAGAGGCCCAACCCAUGUGGAGAAGUCAACUGUAGGUGCUCUGAGUCCACGGCCCCAGGAGAGUUCUGCAACGUCAGCCAGUGCCAACUGCCCGUGGUGUGAGCGCACCUGCCUGGACUGAGGCAGGCUUUGGAUGACUGAGUCUUGGCCAACCUCCAUCUGCACCUGCAUCUGAAACCUCAAAUAAGAACUGCAGCCAACCCAGAUAACUAUGAGAGAUGAUAAUAAAUUGUUCAAGUAUAAUAAAGUGCGGGAUGGUUGGUUAGCCACAACAGAUAGCUGAAACAGAUGCUUACAGUGGCCUCUAAGACAGUCCGGGAGCAUGCAUAGUUGACUCACCCUUCCCAGUGUCACCUUCUCUCACUCCCCAGUCCCACUCCCUGAACAUCGCGUUGCCCCUGAGGAAGUGGACUGAACAAUUUCAGGACACAAUUGGAACAACUGUUUAUUUUACUAAGGCUAUGGCUGGAAUGGCAUGCUGUACUGACCUGUGGUUUUUAUUGUCUACUGGUAGACUGGACUGGAUUCUGAAUUCUAGUUUCCUCCAAUAUCUGGCUACAACUCUCCAAGUAAGAAGAAGAACUGCUUUGUUUCUGAAGGCCUCUGAGCUGGAGCUGGACAACUUGAUGUAAAUUUUUAGGAACAAAUCUCAAGCCUGAUGUGUGGGCUACACAGAGAUUUCACCAAAUUGAGGGUCCCAUUGCCAGGGACCCUCAAACUGAAAACCAGGAUAAGCAGCUGACAACUUCAUGCUGUGGACAGCUUUUCCCAGGACCUGGGAGAAACACUCCCAGUCACAGCGAGAGCCCGGGCCCCUCUUAGUUUCUCCUUGCUGAUGCAGAGCUCUUUUGCUGGGCAGGAUAAUGCUGUAGGUAGAAUUGCACAAUCAGGAGCUUCUGCUGGUGACUUCACGAAACACUGGAUCCGUCAUACCAAACCCAAAUCUUUACAUGACUUAAGGGGUCCUUUAGUCCACCCAGUGGGUAACGUUAGCAGCAUCCAUAAUACAACUGUGUUUAAAUUCUCACUGUGUUUAAAAAUGGUCCCUUUUAUAGAGUAAGAUUUCUAGAAAUCUCACUCUCUGCUUUAAUUUAACCGAGUCGUGGCAUACCAGAUAAUUGAACUGCUACCUACCAGCUGAGCCGGGAGAAGGAGUCUGUGCAGUUGCCGACACUUCUUAUUGCAGAUGGAUAAAUGCAUUGGGUAUCACAGAGACUCCACGGCAAAAAUGAAUGAACAAGCUCCUUGGUUAAAAUGAGUAGAUUCGCCGUCCG
rnacentral:lncRNA from 1 species